UCGACCAGAGGACAGGGGAGAAAGAAGCAAACCCUAACUCUCACAAAUCUCUCAAAUUGAAGGUCCAAAUCAAGUCCAAAUCAAAAUCCGAGUACGAAUUAGUGAUCUUCAAUGAAAAAGGAGUCACGAGUUUGACGCUUAAACGAGCUAGGUGGAGGCUUGGGAAAGAAGCGGUCAAAUAAAUCAAGUACGAGAAGAGAAGCGCAAGCCGGAUGAGAGGUGAAUGUCGAGAGUCCCGGAUGAAGAUCAAGCGUCGAGCGAGAACCAAACACACAUUAAAUGAAGCUUCCGCGUCAAAUCUUGAUUUGUUUUGCUAUAAGUGAAUUAUGUAAACACUUAUAAAUAUGUUUUUGAAAUGUUGUAAACAUACGGGAAUGUUGG